AUUGAACGCUGGCGGCAGGCCUAACACAUGCAAGUCGAGCGGAUGAAGGGAGCUUGCUCCUGGAUUCAGCGGCGGACGGGUGAGUAAUGCCUAGGAAUCUGCCUGGUAGUGGGGGAUAACGUCCGGAAACGGGCGCUAAUACCGCAUACGUCCUGAGGGAGAAAGUGGGGGAUCUUCGGACCUCACGCUAUCAGAUGAGCCUAGGUCGAAUUAGCUAGUUGGUGGGGUAAAGGCCUACCAAGGCGACGAUCCGUAACUGGUCUGAGAGGAUGAUCAGUCACACUGGAACUGAGACACGGUCCAGACUCCUACGGGAGGCAGCAGUGGGGAAUAUUGGACAAUGGGCGAAAGCCUGAUCCAGCCAUGCCGCGUGUGUGAAGAAGGUCUUCGGAUUGUAAAGCACUUUAAGUUGGGAGGAAGGGCAGUAAGUUAAUACCUUGCUGCUUUGACGUUACCAACAGAAUAAGCACCGGCUAACUUCGUG
rnacentral:rRNA from 1 species